AUGCUUUAUUGGCGUCAUUUAAUAUAUCAGCUGUAUUAGUAUUACAAACUAUAUAUAUCGAACGUAUUUGCAAGCUUCUUUUGUUGACAUUUCACUUGUUACGUGGCUGUUAACAGCGGGUAGCGAGACCUGGCACGCCGAGCAAGCAAUGAUUCUUAAGCGAGCGGCUCCUGUCCUCACGGCAGUUACGACUAGGUCUCAGCAAAGAUCAGAAUGAAAAGAACUCAUUGUAAUGAGAUGACCCGGCGGCGGCAGGGGCGAGGGACACUUGCCAGUACCUGCCUCUGGUAAGAAGCUACGGCUCUGUACCAGGGGCAGGUACCCAACCUUCCGUCUCCCCGAUUGACAUGUGGCUGCUCGACCCCUGCACGGAUCCCGGACUCUCCCUGGCAACUGACUCUUAUGCCCCCCGCCCCCCCCCCCCUCUCAGCCUCCAGGAGCAAACGUCAGCCGAACAUCGUUCCUGUCAGCCCUACAUACACCCCUCUGCUCUCGGAUGCAGCUUUUCCUAUCUCGUGAUCAUUUCUCCACAUAAUAUAUUGCGAAGAUUUCUUUGAAUCUUCUAUCAGUUUAUGUUCCAGCUAAUUGAUAUUGAAUCCCAGGAACAGCGAACUCACGGAAACUAAAUUGCAUCUUUGUGUAUCAGUUUACCCAUGAUGAAUAUGUUGCUUGUAUCAAGCAUCCAUUUAAAAAUUGUUUUGUUUCUUGAUAUAUCUUUUCCUCUUUGCUAUGAGCAAUGUGUUGUAUUUAAAGUACAAUAUGUUAUUCCACUGUAAAAGAGGCAAUCACGGGUUCAAUAAAUUUGAUUUUAAUAAAUGGAUGCUUAGAUUUUACCUCAGGAAUAAUAUAUCAUUUAACGUUUUAUAAGGAUGUUUCCACCGAUUUCUACACUAUGAAUGUAUUUGUACCUCUAAUCAAACUCUAAGCAUUUUCCAAAUAUUAAAAUUCAUAAAUAAA